CCGAGAGUCCCCAUUUUAGGUUCAGGACGAACGCUGGCGGCGUGCUUAACACAUCAAGUCGAGCGGGGUCCAACCGGUGGCAACACCGGGGAAGACCUAGCGGCGAACGGGUGAGUAACACGGGAGGAACCUGCCCCGAAGACCGGGAUAACCCUCCGAAAGGAGAGCUAAUACCGGAUGCCCUCUACUGAUCGCAUGUUCGGUAGAGGAAAUGGAUUCCGCUUUGGGAGGGCCUCGCGGCCCUAUCAGCUUGUUGGUGAGGUAACGGCUCACCAAGGCAUCGACGGGUAGCUGGUCUGAGAGGACGAUCAGCCACACUGGGACUGAGACACGGCCCAGACUCCUACGGGAGGCAGCAGUGGGGAAUCUUGCGCAACGGGCGAAAGCCUGACGCAGCAACGCCGCGUGGGGGAUGAAGGCUUUCGGGUUGUAAACCCCUUUCAGCAGGGACGAUUAUGACGGUACCUGCAGAAGAAGGACCGGCCAACUACGUGCCAGCAGCCGCGGUAAUACGUAGGGUCCAAGCGUUGUCCGGAUUUAUUGGGCGUAAAGAGCUCGUAGGCGGCUCAGUAAGUCGGAUGUGAAAACUCGGGGCUCAACCCCGAGACGCCAUCCGAUACUGCUGUGGCUUGAGUCUGGUAGGGGAACACGGAAUUUCCUGGUGUAGCGGUGAAAUGCGCAGAUAUCAGGAGGAACACCGAUUGGCGAAGGCAGUGUUCUGGGCCAGUACUGACGCUGAGGAGCGAAAGCGUGGGUAGCAAACAGGAUUAGAUACCCUGGUAGUCCACGCCGUAAACGUUGGGCACUAGGCGUGGGACUAUCGACGGUUUCCGUGCCGCAGCUAACGCAUUACUGCCCGGUGGGGAGUACGGCCGCAAGGCUAAAACUC
rnacentral:rRNA from 1 species